rnacentral:rRNA from 1 species
UACAGAGGGGGCAAGCGUUGUUCGGAAUUACUGGGCGUAAAGGGCGCGUAGGCGGCCUUCUAAGUCGAACGUGAAAUCCCCGGGCUCAACCCGGGAACUGCGUCCGAUACUGGCGGGCUUGAAUUCGGGAGAGGGAUGCGGAAUUCCAGGUGUAGCGGUGAAAUGCGUAGAUAUCUGGAGGAACACCGGUGGCGAAGGCGGCAUCCUGGACCGAUAUUGACGCUGAUGCGCGAAAGCCAGGGGAGCAAACGGG